GCCGAAGUGGCGGAAUUGGUAGACGCGCACGACUCAAAAUCGUGUGAGGGCAACUUCAUGAGGGUUCGAUUCCCUCCUUCGGCACCA
rnacentral:tRNA from 1 species